UACAGAGGUCUCAAGCGUUGUUCGGAUUCAUUGGGCGUAAAGGGUGCGUAGGUGGCGCCGUAAGUCGGGUGUGAAAUUUCGGAGCUUAACUCCGAAACUGCAUUCGAUACUGCGGUGCUUGAGGACUGGAGAGGAGACUGGAAUUCAUGGUGUAGCAGUGAAAUGCGUAGAGAUCAUGAGGAAGACCAGUGGCGAAGGCGGGUCUCUGGACAGUUCCUGACACUGAGACACGAAGGCCAGGGAGCAAACGGG
rnacentral:rRNA from 1 species